rnacentral:sRNA from 1 species
GCUGGGCAUGGUGGCGCAUGCCUGUAAUCUCGGCGGCUUAGGAAACUGAGGCAGGAAGAUUGUGAGUUCAAAGCCAGCCUCAGCAAAAGUGAGGUGCUAAGCAACUCAGUGAGACCCUGUCUCUA